rnacentral:rRNA from 1 species
AUGUCUAUGCUUGACCAAAGAACCCUAGGGAAUGAAAGAAUUAGCUUCAAUAGUAUGCACAAUAUUGUGCAUAUUGAUGAAAAGUGGUUCCUUAUGACUAAAAGGGAUAGAAACUACUACCUAUUGCCGGAUGAAGAAGACCCGGUAAGACCAGUUCCAAACAAGAUCGGAAAAGUGAUGUUUCUCACAGUAGUUGCCAGGCCCAGAUACGACGCUGACGGGAAUGUCACUUUCUCAGGAAAGAUUGGGGUUUGGCCUUUCGUCAUGGAAGUUGCAGCUCAAAGAAGGAGUGGAAAUAGAGAACGAGGAGUCCUAGAGAUCAAGUCGCUCAUAGUCAACAGAGUAGUCAUGAGACAAUACAUGAUUGAGAAAGUUGUUCUGGCGAUAAAAAAUGUGUGGCCUGUAGAAGAUGUUGGACAAACAGUCUUCAUCCAACAGGACAACGCAAGGACACACAUUCUGCCUAAUGAUGCUGAGUUCGCACAAGCAGUGGUUGAGACCGGUAUGGACAUCAAACUGAUGCAACAGCCCCCAAAUUCUCCCGACUUGAACGCUCUUGACCUUGGUUACUUCAGAUCCCUCGAGUCUCUAACGGACUGCAGAGCCCCUACCACCAUUCCGGAGCUAAUUCAAGGGGUCCAGGAAGAAUUUGAUGACUAUGAAGUUGGAAAGCUCAAUAGAAUCUUCCUCACACUUCAAACAUGUAUGGUGCAAAUAAUGAAUCAUGCAUGA